GACAGAGGAGGCAAGCGUUGUCCGGACUUACUGGGCGUAAAGCGUCCGCAGGUGGUCGUGCAAGUGCCGUGUGAAAGCGCUCGGCUUAACUGAGCGAGGCCAUGGCAGACUGCUCGACUCGAUACCGGGAGAGGUCGGUGGAAUUGCCGGUGUAGUGGUGAAAUGCGUAGAGAUCGGCAGGAACACCCAAGGGGAAGCCAGCUGACUGGCCCGGUACUGACACUCAGGGACGACAGCGUGGGGAGCGAACCGG
rnacentral:rRNA from 1 species